ACUCCUACGGGAGGCAGCAGUGGGGAAUAUUGGACAAUGGGCGAAAGCCUGAUCCAGCAAUGCCGCGUGAGUGAUGAAGGCCUUAGUGUUGUAAAGCUCUUUUACCGGGAAGAUAAUGACUGUACCGGGAGAAUAAGCCCGGCUAACUCCGUGCCAGCAGCCGCGGUAAUACGGAGGGGCUAGCGUUGUUCGGAAUUACUGGGCGUAAAGCGCACGUAGGCGGCUUUGUAAGUCAGAGGUGAAAGCCUGGAGCUCAACUCCAGAACUGCCUUUGAGACUGCAUCGCUUGAAUCCAGGAGAGGUGAGUGGAAUUCCGAGUGUAGAGGUGAAAUUCGUAGAUAUUCGGAAGAACACCAGUGGCGAAGGCGGCUCACUGGACUGGUAUUGACGCUGAGGUGCGAAAGCGUGGGAGCAAACAGGAUUAGAUACCCUGGUAGGAUAGCG
rnacentral:rRNA from 1 species